AUUGAACGCUGGCGGCAGGCCUAACACAUGCAAGUCGAACGAGUGGCGGACGGGUGAGUAAUGUCUGGGAAACUGCCUGAUGGAGGGGGAUAACUACUGGAAACGGUAGCUAAUACCGCAUACCAUCGGAUGUGCCCAGAUGGGAUUAGCUAGUUGGUGGGGUAAAGGCUCACCUAGGCGACGAUCCCUAGCUGGUCUGAGAGGAGGACCAGCCAAACGGGAACUGAGACACGGUCAAGACUCCAACGGGAGGCAGCAGAGGGGAAUAUUGCACAAUGGGCGAAGGCUUGAUGCGGCCAUGCGGCGUGUAUGAAGAGGGCCUUCGGGUUGUAAAGUCCUUUCAGCGGGGAGGCGUUACCCGAAGAAGAAGCACCGGCUAACUCCGUGCCAGCAGCCGCGGUAAUAC
rnacentral:rRNA from 1 species